GCAGACACAUUCCAGCCAAUCAGCAGCAGACCCUCCCUCCCAGACCCUCCCACCUCCUUGACAGCUCACUAAGAAUGCAGCUUCACAAUGAAUGUAAAAUGGAUGCUGUCCAGGAGGUGGGAGGGUCUGGGAGGGAGGGUCUGCUGCUGAUUGGCUGGAAUGUGUCUG
rnacentral:miRNA from 1 species